UACGGGGGGGGCAAGCGUUGUUCGGAAUUACUGGGCGUAAAGGGCUCGUAGGCUGCCAACUAAGUCAGACGUGAAAUCCCUCGGCUUAACCGGGGAACUGCGUCUGAUACUGGAUGGCUUGAAUCCGGGAGAGGGAUGCGGAAUUCCAGGUGUAGCGGUGAAAUGCGUAGAUAUCUGGAGGAACACCGGUGGCGAAGGCGGCAUCCUGGACCGGCAUUGACGCUGAGGAGCGAAAGCUAGGGGAGCAAACGGG
rnacentral:rRNA from 1 species